AUGGUUGAUAAAGACCAGGCUGAAAUCAAUGCUAUUCAAAAGGUGUUCAACGAGUCAGACAUUCUCCUUUGUUGGUACCAUGUAACGCAAGCAGUAACUCGUUGGCUGUCAAAAUCUGAAUCUGGUGUGAGUGGACCUGAAAAGGCAGAUUCAAGAGCGCACAUCAUGCAGUUUAUGUCAGAGAUGAAAUGCUGUUCAACGGCACAAGAAUUUAAGGAAAAGGCUGAGAUGUUUCACUGCCAGUUUAGAAACUUCAAAAAUGUCUGCAAGUACUUCAAGAACCACUGGGAGACAAUUGGUCAUCUCUGGUCAAACUUUGGAAGAUGCUAUAAACAUGGAGAUUCUGACACAAACAAUCUGAUAGAACGACAUGGACACACAACUGCAAGCCCAUACCAAUACCUUGAUGCUAACAAAUAA